rnacentral:misc_RNA from 1 species
GUGCAGGCCCCUUCCGGGCCUACCCUCCCACCCGUGUCUCUUAUAUACCCUGUUGCUUUGGCGGGCCCACCGGGUCUCUCCGGUCGCCGGGGGGCACUGCGCCCCCGGGCCCGUGCCCGCCAGAGCACCCUAUGAACCCUUCUGAAGAUCGGCGGUCUGAGUGGGAUGAUAAUCAUUAAAACUUUCAACAAUGGAUCUCUUGGUUCCGGCAUCGAUGAAGAACGCAGCGAAAUGCGAUAAGUAAUGUGAAUUGCAGAAUUCCGUGAAUCAUCGAAUCUUUGAACGCACAUUGCGCCCCCUGGCAUUCCGGGGGGCAUGCCUGUCCGAGCGUCAUUUCUGCCCUCAAGCGCGGCUUGUGUGUUGGGCGUGGUCCCCCGGCCCCGGGGGACCUGCCCCAAAGGCAGCGGCGACGUCCCGUCUAGGUCCUCGAGCGUAUGGGGCUUUGUCACCCGCUCGGGAGGGGCCUGCGGGCGUUGGUCACCCCUAUUUCUUAUUGUACGGUUGACCUCGG